UAUCUUUAAUAGUUUCUGAGAUCUAAGCGUUCAUUCGGACAGACGGGCAUGUCUUAAUCGACUUAGCUUUUGAUCCUGAUAAAGAACAUAUAUAGUUUUUAGGUUUGGAAACGCUAGUUUCUAGCUGUUACAUACUUUUGAAAAGGGUCUUGAAGAGUAAGCAAACUGUUAAAAGACCAUUUCAAUGAGAUUAUUCAUUUGAGUUGCUAUAUAUUCGUUGGUAAUAAGCCUGAAUAGCAGUUUGCAACUACCAAAGAAAGGAGAUACAACAUGGACUUCAAAUUAACUUACCUCGUCCUAGCUUUCCUUACUUUUGCUACUAUUAGCAUUGCGUAUGACAAAGAGAAGUGUGAUGCCCCUCCUAGCGUACCAGGAUUGUGCAAAGCUGGCUUUCGUAGUUAUACUUUUAAGGAUAAAAAGUGUGAGUUCUUUAUAUAUGGUGGAUGCGGCGCAACUAAAAACAUUUUUGAUUUAAAAGCUGAAUGUGAA